UACGAAGGGGGGCUAGCGUUGCUCGGAAUCACUGGGCGUAAAGGGCUCGUAGGCGGCCAACUAAGUCAUACGUGAAAUCCCUCGGCUUAACCGGGGAACUGCGUCUGAUACUGGAUGGCUUGAGUUCGGGAGAGGGAUGCGGAAUUCCAGGUGUAGCGGUGAAAUGCGUAGAUAUCUGGAGGAACACCGGUGGCGAAGGCGGCAUCCUGGACCGAUACUGACGCUGAGGAGCGAAAGCCAGGGGAGCAAACGGG
rnacentral:rRNA from 1 species